GAGGGUACAGCUCAGUGGUAAAGCACAUGCUUAACAGGCAUGAGGUCCUGGGUUCAAUCCCCAGUACCUCCA
rfam:Camelus ferus unplaced genomic scaffold scaffold1078, whole genome shotgun sequence.